UACAGAGGGGGCAAGCGUUGUUCGGAAUUACUGGGCGUAAAGGGCGCGUAGGCGGCCUGUUAAGUCGAACGUGAAAUCCCCGGGCUCAACCCGGGAACUGCGUCCGAUACUGGCAGGCUUGAAUCCGGGAGAGGGAUGCGGAAUUCCAGGUGUAGCGGUGAAAUGCGCAGAUAUCGGGAGGAACACCAGUGGCGAAGGCGGAACUCUGGGCCGGAACUGACGCUGAGGAGCGAAAGCGUGGGGAGCGAACAGG
rnacentral:rRNA from 1 species